GACGGAGGAUGCAAGCGUUAUCCGGAAUUACUGGGCGUAAAGCGUGCGCAGGCGGUCUUGCAAGACAGAUGUGAAAUCCCCGGGCUCAACCUGGGAACUGCAUUUGUGACUGCAAGGCUAGAGUACGGUAGAGGGGGAUGGAAUUCCGCGUGUAGCAGUGAAAUGCGUAGAUAUGCGGAGGAACACCGAUGGCGAAGGCAAUCCCCUGGACCUGUACUGACGCUCAUGCACGAAAGCGUGGGGAGCAAACAGG
rnacentral:rRNA from 1 species